rnacentral:rRNA from 1 species
GAUGAACGCUAGCGGGAGGCCUAACACAUGCAAGCCGAGCGGUAUUGUUUCUUCGGAAAUGAGAGAGCGGCGUACGGGUGCGUAACACGUGUGCAACCUGCCUUUAUCUGGGGGAUAGCCUUUCGAAAGGAAGAUUAAUACUCCAUAAUAUAUUUAACGGCAUCGUUUAAUAUUGAAAGCUCCGGCGGAUAGAGAUGGGCACGCGCAAGAUUAGCUAGUUGGUGAGGUAACGGCUCACCAAGGCGAUGAUCUUUAGGGGGCCUGAGAGGGUGAUCCCCCACACUGGUACUGAGACACGGACCAGACUCCUACGGGAGGCAGCAGUGAGGAAUAUUGGUCAAUGGGUGCAAGCCUGAACCAGCCAUCCCGCGUGAAGGACGACUGCCCUAUGGGUUGUAAACUUCUUUUGUAUAGGGAUAAACCUACCCUCGAGAGGGUAGCUGAAGGUACUAUACGAAUAAGCACCGGCUAACUCCGUG